rnacentral:lncRNA from 15 species
CGGAUAAUAUAUUUGACCUCAUUGCGUCACUUUAAUUAUGCAGAUUUAUGCACGACGCAGGCUACUCGCACAAACUGAGAAGAUUUAGUUCAUUGAGAAUGGAUGGAAACUGAUGAAGAGCUGGAAGGAGUUAACUGAUGAGUAGACAUUACAACAUUUCUUAUAUUUUCAAGAUGAAGCUGAAAGUCCCAUGCAGGAUGAUGCUUCUCUACAGUGGAUGAUGAAAGCAUGCUGAUUACAAACCCAGGAGAGGAAUAAAGAACAGAUAUUGACAGAAUCAUAUCUAUAUAUGGGCCUACUGCACUUCAUACAAGCAAGUGUGCUAAUAUACCAUACUUGGGUUAUCAUCACAGCCCUUUUUUCUGAAAACUAGCCUACAACUUCAUCGAUGAAUGCAGAAGACAUCUACAUGGGACUACGUCUUAAAGAUGCCCCCUCAUAUAAUGAAAGAGGACAGUAGAGAUGGGUUUAAACUUGAAUAUUUACAUACUAUUUAUUUAUUAUUUGUAUU